rnacentral:pre_miRNA from 1 species
CUGGUUGCACAGUCCAUUAUUACUUUUGGUACGCGCUAUGCCACUCUCAAACUCGUACCGUGAGUAAUAAUGCACUGUGGC